rnacentral:lncRNA from 1 species
GCCUGAGCUUGGUCUCCAAAUUUCGCAUAGCUGCUUCUUGAUUUUGCAUGAAUUUAGUUUCUAAGUUCCUCAUGGCUGCUUCUUGGUUUUGCAUAAAUUUAACCAUCAGCUCUUCCAUGUCAGGCUUCUUCUCAUAUAUUUGGAAUCGUAGGGGUGGUUGAUGUGCUGCAGAUUUAUUACUCCACGAGAAGUUUGGAUGCUGCCUC